GGAGAGGUGUCCGAGUGGUUUAAGGUGGUAGACUCGAAAUCUGCUGAGGGGUCACACCCUCCGGGGGUUCGAAUCCCCCCCUCUCCG
rnacentral:tRNA from 4 species